UUUCCCUCUGUCUAUGUUAUUUCGCACUGCCUAAGUGAAGAAUGCAUUACCAACUCGGCCAGCGAACCACCGUUUCGAAAUAACUACCGCUACA
rnacentral:lncRNA from 1 species